CGUAUUGUGGUCAUAGGUAUUGUCAUGUUCAUGUGAGACUUCAAAAGAAAGGUGAUGAACUAAAUAAAAUUUGCAAAUUUAUUGUCAGAGGAGUUGAAUAAAUUGUGGUAGUGACUUAGUGUAUAUGAGCAGUGACACAACUUAGAUCAUGAACAAUACUGUAUAGACUCGGGUUUUGAUCAGGUCAACUAGGAAAGAAGGGAAUCUGUUGUAUAUAUGUCAGCGAAGAAGCAUCCAGUGAUAUGUGUUGGGUAAACAUGUUUAAACGUCCAAGGAAUUAUUUUUCCCAAGAUGAUUUACCAUGUCAAAAUUGUGUUAUACAUGUGUCCUUGAGUACAUCUAGAAGAUGUACCACUUCAAUAUUCAAAGGUGAGAUUACUUGCCAUAGAAACAGAGAUGAGUUUGUUCAGUUUUAACUCUACGCAUUCAAUUUUGAUGAAAUAAUUACGAGAACUUAUUCCUAAAAACUAAAUUAUAUUAUUACAUAUGUUUAAGGUUAUUUUCCUCGCAUCAAAAUUUCUCAACAACUUCUUUAUUCGGUGAAAUGCAACCAAGGCCGAAGGGACGUGUUCAAUGCCCAGUAGCUAUUUGAGAAAACAAAGCGGUGCUAAGUUUUGGUGGUGCAAGUACCUAUUAAAUCUACGUUUUCUCUAUAGUGCCACCGUGGCCUCUAAAAACCAUGACACGACAACACCCAUAAGCAGCUUAUGUAGAUGUUGUUUUUGAUGUUCCUUUCGUACUCCUGACAGAACCAUCGAGUGUUAGUUACUAUAAUAAUAUUAUUCUAUUUCCCUUAUUGUA